rnacentral:rRNA from 1 species
UACGUAGGGUGCAAGCGUUAAUCGGAAUUACUGGGCGUAAAGCGUGCGCAGGCGGUUAUGCAAGACAGAUGUGAAAUCCCCGGGCUCAACCUGGGAACUGCAUUUGUGACUGCAUGGCUAGAGUACGGUAGAGGGGGAUGGAAUUCCGCGUGUAGCAGUGAAAUGCGUAGAUAUGCGGAGGAACACCGAUGGCGAAGGCAAUCCCCUGGACCUGUACUGACGCUCAUGCA